CCUGCAGCUGACCCUCCCCCUGCUUCUGUCUGAUAUGUUUGAUAUUAGGUUGUUCUACUGGGAAACCAACUAAAUAUCAAACAUAUUCUUACAGCGCCAGGGCCCUUCCCACGCACCCCGG
rnacentral:pre_miRNA from 11 species